UUUGAUCCUGGCUUCAGGACGAACGCUGGCGGCGUGCUUAACACAUGCAAGUCGAACGAUGAAGCCUAGCUUGCUAGGUGGAUUAGUGGCGAACGGGUGAGUAAUACGUGAGUGACCUACCUUUGACUCUGGGAUAAGCCUGGGAAACUGGGUCUAAUACCGGAUACGACCAAUCUCCGCAUGGGGUGUUGGUGGAAAGCGUUAUGGAGUGGUUUUAGAUGGGCUCACGGCCUAUCAGCUUGUUGGUGAGGUAAUGGCUUACCAAGGCGACGACGGGUAGCCGGCCUGAGAGGGUGACCGGCCACACUGGGACUGAGACACGGCCCAGACUCCUACGGGAGGCAGCAGUGGGGAAUAUUGCACAAUGGGCGCAAGCCUGAUGCAGCGACGCCGCGUGAGGGAUGACGGCCUUCGGGUUGUAAACCUCUGUUAGCAUCGAAGAAGCGAAAGUGACGGUAGGUGCAGAGAAAGCGCCGGCUAACUACGUGCCAGCAGCCGCGGUAAUACGUAGGGCGCGAGCGUUGUCCGGAAUUAUUGGGCGUAAAGAGCUUGUAGGCGGUUGGUCGCGUCUGCUGUGAAAGGCUGGGGCUUAACCCUGGUUUUGCAGUGGGUACGGGCUAACUAGAGUGCAGUAGGGGAGACUGGAAUUCCUGGUGUAGCGGUGGAAUGCGCAGAUAUCAGGAGGAACACCGAUGGCGAAGGCAGGUCUCUGGGCUGUAACUGACGCUGAGAAGCGAAAGCAUGGGGAGCGAACAGGAUUAGAUACCCUGGUAGUCCAUGCCGUAAACGUUGGGCACUAGGUGUGGGGGACAUUCCACGUUUUCCGCGCCGUAGCUAACGCAUUAAGUGCCCCGCCUGGGGGAGUACGGCCGCAAGGCUAAAACUCAAAGAAAUUGACGGGGGCCCGCACAAGCGGCGGAGCAUGCGGAUUAAUUCGAUGCAACGCGAAGAACCUUACCAAGGCUUGACAUAUACUGGACUGCGUCAGAGAUGGCGUUUCCCUUCGGGGCUGGUAUACAGGUGGUGCAUGGUUGUCGUCAGCUCGUGUCGUGAGAUGUUGGGUUAAGUCCCGCAACGAGCGCAACCCUCGUUCUAUGUUGCCAGCACGUGAUGGUGGGGACUCAUAGGAGACUGCCGGGGUCAAACUCGGAGGAAGGUGGGGAUGACGUCAAAUCAUCAUGCCCCUUAUGUCUUGGGCUUCACGCAUGCUACGAAUGGCCGGUACAGAGGGUUGCGAUACUGUGAGGUGGAGCUAAAUCCCUAGAAAGCCGGUCUCGAGUUCGGAUUGGGGUUCUGCGAACUCGACCCCGUGAAA
rnacentral:rRNA from 1 species